CCUACGGGUGGCAGCAGUGAGGAAUAUUGGUCAAUGGGCGGAAGCCUGAACCAGCCAAGUAGCGUGCAGGAUGACGGCCCUACGGGUUGUAAACUGCUUUUAUACGGGAAUAACGCGCCUUACGUGUAGGGCUUUGCAUGUACCGUAUGAAUAAGGACCGGCUAAUUCCGUGCCAGCAGCCGCGGUAAUACGGAAGGUCCGGGCGUUAUCCGGCUUUAUUGGGUUGAAAGGGGGGUUAGGCCGCAUGGCAAGCGUGCUGUGAAAUGUCCGGGCUCAACCCGGGCCUUGCAGCGCGAACUGGCGUGCGUGAGUCCGCGGAAAGCAGGCGGAAUUCGUCGUGUAGCGGGGAAAUGCUUAGAUAUGACGAAGAACCCCGAUUGCGAAGGCAGCUUGCUGCAGCGGAACUGACGGUGAUGCUCGAAAGCGCGGGUAUCGAACAGGAAUAGAUACCCGGGUAGUC
rnacentral:rRNA from 1 species